AAUACAAAAAUUCAUAUUUAGAAUUUAUAUUUGUGUGUGGCUUAAUUUUGUUGGCAUUAUAUUAUUUGGCAUAUUUUAACACUUGUGAAUGUUUGUUUUACAGUUUUUUCUUUUGGGCUAUAUCGAAUGCUAUGACUAGACAAUUUGUGAUGAGAAAUAGAUUAGACAAUGCAUUUUUGGCUGAGAGUGAAGUGUGUCCUUGAUAUUAAAUCAAUGUACACUGUGUUCUGAAGAGAGCCAAGCAGGGCAUCCUGCUGGCUGAUUCCCGCAGCUCUCCCUGGGUUGCCUGGCAACAAGCUGGCUGAAGUCAGAGUCGUGCUUUUCCCCCAGCAGUGGAGAAGGCAAUCUGAGAUGCUGCUGGUUCCAAGGCUUUAGAAGAAGAGAGAGAGGAUUUUCCCUUGCAUUCUUAAUCCAGUUUUAUCAUUAAUGAUACUAACAUUUUGAUCCAGUUGGAUCUUUAUUUCUAUUCAUCAAUAUUUGGUACACAGAGACGAGGAAGUGGGCAGAAAGGUGACUGAUUAGGCUCCCUCAGCGUACGUUAUCACAUCAUUCUAUUCCCAGGUUGCUAUGGUGCUUCCUAUAAUCCAAGUUGCUUAUAGACAGUGUGCAUGGAGCUUUCUCAACCUGCCUUGCUCACCUCUUUGCUUUCUCAACCUGCAUUGCUCAACCUGCAGUCUGCAACUCUUUGUGGCCAUGGACAGAAGCUCAGACCGAGAGCUCUCUGCGAUUCUGUGAUUCAGAGACCGAACUUGUGUGUGACCAUCUCCUUGAACUCCUUGAUUUCUAGCCUGAGAAAUGAAAGUGUGAAACAAGCUUCACAUAAAAUAUUUAAAGAACAAACUUUAUUCAUGAAAAUAAAUGAGAAGAUGAUGAACUUCUAAA
rnacentral:lncRNA from 1 species